rnacentral:lncRNA from 1 species
GGAACGCUAGCUUUUCAUUGAUUGGUGAAAUAAUGCCGGCUCAAACGUCUUGACCCCGGGGAAGGCUACUUUAUUUCUGUGCCUGUUUCCUCCUCUCUAAGAUGGGAGCCGUUCCGGGAGCAGAGAGAGGAUCCAGCAAGGUCGUGAAAUGGGACAAUGACUUUCARGUCCUUCCGGGAGCUGCACUCCACAGUUUGUAGUGGUGAACAGGAUCCAGACCUUUGCCUGAUGGCACACUUGCAGGUGGCGGUGCGGACGAGUGGAUAUAUAUAUAUAUGCAAGGAAGAAGGGAGAGAAGGAGAGGAAGUGGACGUUGGCCGGAUGACUGGAGGACAGAGAAAAAGAGAUGAGCUGCCCAGCAAGAACCACAGGCCUGCAGGCUCGGGGAUGAACUUGGCCUCCCUCCCACCUCUUCUUGGAGAGUGGCCCCUUUUGAAAUCGCUCAGUCCCAUCUCCAUCUCCCUCUGGGCAGAGCUGCUAACGCAAGUCCCUGGUCUGAUGGAGAGCGAGCUCCUGGCGUGCAGAACCAUGAGCUCUAGGCCACCUGCCAGCAUAGGUUGUCACCCCCACCCAGACCCCAGAGGUGGGAGGCGCAGGGUGGGCGAGGGCACUGCCCAUGGUGAGCCCACUCCACUGACUCUAGAGUCACUGCCUGAACGCUUCCAUUGAUAUUCCCAGAACACCCAAAUGACGUGUGGCCGUUCCAGGUCCUGGGCGGUGCAUUUAACAGCGUCUGGGUCACUGAUGGAAUGCAGAGGAGACUGGGUCCUGUCCUCUUCUGUCCCAUGCAGGCACGUUCCAGCACCAGAUUACGUAAUGGUCCUGGUUGUGAGUGAGCACUCACCCGUCUGGUCUGAGCUCAAUUUGCAAAUGCCACCCCCCACCCCCCACUGUGGGCUCCUGUAAAUAUUCAUCAAAGAUGAGGUCAGAUGAAGCAGCAGACUUCAGCUAAGGAUCAUUAUUAACACAAACCACAGCCUUGUCCCCACCUGGGGGGGGGGAUGACAAUACGGUCUAGGGCGGGCCAAGAAUCACAUUUCAAGAGCUUAGGAGAAAUCAGGCAGUGCUUAAAUGAAAUCAGGCAGAGCUUAAGUGAAAUCAGGCAGCACUUAAGUGAAAUCAGGCUGCAGGAAGAGGCACAAGAUGUUAAUGGCGAGGGGGACCCUGUGCCCAGUGACUGAUGGAGCUCUUCCUUAGGAACCUCACUGCCCCCUCCGACUCCAUCAUGGUCAUUUCCCUAAGUACAGUGGAGACGGGUGAG